UCUCUGGAGGUCCAGUGAUUAGCACUUGGCACUUUGACUGCCAAGAACCCAGGUUCAAUCCCUGGUCAGGAAA
rnacentral:tRNA from 1 species